CAGUAGCCGCGGUAAUACGUAGGUGGCAAGCCUUGUCCGGAAUUAUUGGGCGUAAAGCGCGCGCAGGUGGUUUAAUAAGUCUGAUGUGAAAGCCCACGGCUCAACCGUGGAGGGUCAUUGGAAACUGUUAAACUUGAGUGCAGGAGAGAAAAGUGGAAUUCCUAGUGUAGCGGUGAAAUGCGUAGAGAUUAGGAGGAACACCAGUGGCGAAGGCGGCUUUUUGGCCUGUAACUGACACUGAGGCGCGAAAGCGUGGGGAGCAAACAGGUUUAGAUACCCGCGUAGUCCCUGUCUCUUAUAC
rnacentral:rRNA from 1 species